rnacentral:lncRNA from 1 species
GUGAUUUUUUUUUGUGACUCAAUCUGAAUGUGUGUGUGUGGGUGUAGGUGUGUGCGUGUGUGUGUGUGCCAGACCCAGUCAAGUAGCCUCCCUCAGUCUGUACGCAUUCCUUUUACUCUCUCCCUGCAUGAAGCUACUCUCCUUUCCUUCCCUCCUAUGUUUUUAUUUUUACGCGUGUGUGUGUUUGCGAGUGUGUUCCCAUCAGUGUAUGUGUGUGUUUAGGUAAUGGUAGACUAAGCCGAGCAGUUUUGUUGCCCCAGCGUGGCCCGGUGAUUCACCUUUUCUCCUCCAGGUUUCCACCUGGUCACUGGAGCGAUGCACUGAUACGACCUGACACCUGUCUGCUUGGAUGGCCAGCAACAGGCCUCACACACACACACACACACACACACACAGACACACGCGCACACACACCUACCUACCUACACAUGCACUCUAUGCAUCCAUGCAUAAACAUGCGCUCACUCUCGAGCCCUCAAUUGCCCACAAACAGAUGAAGGUGCAUUCCAGCUCCUGCACAAGAUUGAAGAUGAAGUGGGAUUUUACUACAGAGAGGCAGAGAGAGGGAGGUCAGGUCAGGGUGGAUGGUCGGUCAGACAGAAACCACAAACUGUCAACCUCAUGGUGGCACUAGAAGGGAAGUCAGGGCAUUACCAAGGAAACAUGAAUGUCUGCUGAAGAAAACUGUGCCAAUCCAUCCAGUAAAUGUUAUAAGUGAAGACUUUGACCUGCUGGUGGUGCUGGAGGAAAAGGUCACCAGCCGUACUGAAGGAUUCAUCCUGUGAGGAUCAGGACAUUUAAUGGCAAUCCAUCAAACAAUUGUUUCAGUCUGAAUCAAAGUGAUGGAUAACAGGCAACACUGUCUAAGGUAGUAGUUAUGAUAGUUUUGAAAUACACAAACAGUCAAAUUAGUACUCUAUGAAAAUAAAUUUAAUUAACGUUUUUUGGAUAUAGUAUAUGUACAAUAAGCCAGUCAUUUUGUUAUAGAUUCCUUGAAUAAAUAUAAAAUGACCACGAUGGAGAUGCCAUUUGAGGGCAUAUACAGUUUUUCAUUUCACAGAAGGCAAUCUCAAUCACUCACACUGUUGGAGGGCCUGCUUUCUCUCCGGGCUCCCCCCGACCCCAUGGGCCUGCACUUCUUGUACUCGCGCCCCCUGGCUAUCCCUUGAGCUAAAAACCUCGAGGCAACUUCCAGUCAGCCUUGACUUCUUCAAUAUUUAACCGAGACCAUAACUUUUGCAUAACCCAGUGCUUACUUUGAGUAAUCUAAACAUAACCAUCAAACAUUAACCAUGCUUUAGAUGUCAAGAGUACAUAUUAUAUUGAAAAUAAAUUAAACAUGUUUGUAGUAAACAGUUAGAGUUCAAGAUAUAGUUGCUAUUGUAACUGAGUUGAAUAUGAAUGUUAUUUAGGAGCUGUAUGACAAUAAUGUGAAAUAAUAUAUUAUUAUAAUAUUUUUAAUUGAGUUUUAACAUCAACAAAGAAGUUACAUUUAACUGUAAGUGUUAUAUGUUCUGACAAUAAAUCAGCAUUCAGUCUGUUGAUAGAGAUCCUUUUAAACAUCGGUUUAUUUUUUAAGAAAGAAAGAUAUCCAAAGUGAUUGUUCACUGCUAUGAGAAUAUUGUACAUUUUGUUUUAUAAGUUAUUAAAUGCUCUUGUAUUUCUGUUUUAGACCAUUUCUGUGCAAUUGGCCUCUACUUCAGUGGUUUAGUGGCUGCAAUCAUUGAAGAUGAGUGCUGUAUCAGUGGUUGUGUCCUUCCCUGUGUGUCUAGCCUUUUCUUUAUCUGGGUUGGAGUAACAGUGUAACAGCAGUGUUGUCUGUGUCGAUCCCCGUGAAUCUCUCUUUCACAUAGUCAACUCAACUACCAUGUGACAGAUUUUAUGAUUCAGAGAGGUUUCAGUGGUUUGUGGCAGUUUGAGCACACAGACAUCAAACACUGCGAAUGCACUUGCUAAUGUGUGGUCUGGAUGCCGUUUGCCUGUGUAAGCGAAGCGGCUCUGACAGCGUGAUAGCUCACAAACAGUCCACUGCCGCCAGUGCUGAUGACGAUGUAUUAACAGAGGCAGCCCCUAAGACAAAUUCAAAUGAUCGUGUGGUUAAUAAGCAGACGCAGAGAUACACUAAAUGAAUGCUUUACACAUCUGGAUCCAAGCUAUUGCAACAGAGCAGCAAGAUUAUAACAAGUUAUGCUUCCAGAAAAUGAAGAGGUCUACACUCUUUUUUUAUCCUGAACUAAGUUUUACCUUCCCAUUCUUGGAGUGUUAUGCCCAAAGUGCCUAUCAGGGGCCAAAAAGUAAUAGUUCAUUAUUUCACCGGUUCCUGUGAAUAUAACAACUGUAGAUGUACUACUUUUAACAACACGGGCUCCAUGGCAACAGUGUACUAAUGAUGCACUGUGGCUCCAUCCCCUGAUUCACAUUGUUUGGGUUGUCAUUGUGGGCUCCUUUCAGCCUGGGAAAGUGUGAGGAAUGAUGAGGCACUCAUCAGUCACUCAGGAAACACAAGCACUGUGCUACAAAGUUCCUGUCUGGGUCUUUUUUGAAAACAUUUUUCCAAAAAUAAGCUGUAACAAUGCAGGGCACAUGUGCAAUUUGGUGAUUCUCAGUCCUAUAUGAUGGCCUCAAUGCAUUCGGCUAACAGUAUUGUGUCUGAGUCCAAGAUAUUUUGUAUCCUGUGGAUGAGGAGACCAUUUAAUAGUUGGAACCCCUCCGCUUUUAUCACAAAGACAGUCAAAGUCCCUCUCUAUCACAGAAGGCCCUCAAGCCACUUUGUGAACCUCUAGCCACUCCGGUGUCAGAGGUGGAUCUGCCAUCUGGAGUUGGGAGUCGACCUGUCCACCAAGGGUGAGUUCAGCAACAUCCCCUCCGAACGUCCCAUGACGCUUGGCAGUGCUGAUGUAGACGAAAAGCUGCCUCGAUGCAGGUGUGUGUCAGUGAGGCGGAGAGGGGAGGAGGGGGGAGAGAGGUCACAAGUUCCUCACAUCUAAUGAGUCCAUCUUUCUUCCCCCCUGCCAUCUCUACUUUGAUUCAUUCCAACUUCCACGCUGAGCCGACAGCAACUGGCUGAUUUCGGAGCGCAGACUGCCGACGAGUUGACCCUAACAGAGGAACGUGGAGGACCAGCAGACCAAAACUGCAAACAAAAAAGAUUGGAAAUGGAUUGGCAAAUGAAGUCACAACUGUCCCUUGUGGGCAGAAUAUCACAAAUUAAAUUAUGUGGUUGCGCUGGAGCUGACAGAGCAAUGUACAUGUUGCCCGUCAACACACAGCACCAGAAUGUUUUUCCAUACAGUAACUGGCAUUUUACUGUAUUAUCCUGCCCUUCGGUGUUGUUGUAAAUAUUGGAAAUAUAAGUUAAAUGCACAUGAACAAUGCAUGAGCGACUGGGAAUAUGUCAUCUUCGAUUUGCUUAGAUAGUGCCCUGCAUACAUGAAAUAAUAAACUAGCAACGCUUUGGUACAAAUAUGAUAAUGUAAAUAUAACAUCUUCUAAACACGUUUUAGAUAAAGGCAUUCCAUGUAAAUAUUGCAAAUGAGCAAUAAUGAGCUAUUGUAUCCAGUACAAACAAAGCUCAUUAUUUUGCAACUGAUAAUAACUAAUAAUAAAAUGGAUAUUUCAGUUACUGCUGCACAAUGCAUGAAAGUCUAUGGUGGUCCAGUCACUCCUAUUGUAUUUUUACAGCGAAUAUAAAUAAUUCCAACUAAAGAUACAAAUUGAAGCCUGCUUUCCCCUUAGAAAAUGUAAAUACUUGAAUAUAAAGGCAUCCAAAAAUAAAGCCCACCAGCAUCAAGGUGCACAGCAAUUCUUGCAGAGAUGCAUCUCUGGUUUUUAGAAUUAACACAUACCAGCAACUACCAUUGUACCCAGCUUGUGACUGGCUGCCAGUCCCUGUUGACUGAUCCCACUCAUUAAGCAUUUCACUGAGACAUACAUCGAUGGAUCGCAGUGGCUGCUGCCAGAGCUAAUCAGCAUGAAGGAAGAGGUUAGCGAGUUUUAAUGCCAACAGCCAAAAAUAUUGGAAAUGUUUCCUUAAGUUUUAAAUGCCAAAAUGGCUGAAUAACAUUCUCUGUCUUGACCUCCCAACGUAACAGCAAAAAGUAAAUCUUUCUGUUUUUACAGCUAUUAAGAAUAUUAAAGAAAACAUUUUUAUUCACUGCUCAUGGUCACUGGCUUCAGUCGAAAAGUUCUUUGCUUCAUGGUUAUAUGAAAG